rnacentral:rRNA from 1 species
UGGCUCAGAUUGAACGCUGGCGGCAGGCCUAACACACGCAAGUCGAGCGGAUGAAGGGAGCUUGCUCCUGGAUUCAGCGGCGGACGGGUGAGUAAUGCCUAGGAAUCUGCCUGGUAGUGGGGGAUAACGUCCGGAAACGGGCGCUAAUACCGCAUACGUCCUGAGGGAGAAAGUGGGGGAUCUUCGGACCUCACGCUAUCAGAUGAGCCUAGGUCGGAUUAGCUAGUUGGUGGGGUAAAGGCCUACCAAGGCGACGAUCCGUAACUGGUCUGAGAGGAUGAUCAGUCACACUGGAACUGAGACACGGUCCAGACUCCUACGGGAGGCAGCAGUGGGGAAUAUUGGACAAUGGGCGAAAGCCUGAUCCAGCCAUGCCGCGUGUGUGAAGAAGGUCUUCGGAUUGUAAAGCACUUUAAGUUGGGAGGAAGGGCAGUAAGUUAAUACCUUGCUGUUUUGACGUUACCAACAGAAUAAGCACCGGCUAACUUCGUGCCAGCAGCCGCGGUAAUACGAAGGGUGCAAGCGUUAAUCGGAAUUACUGGGCGUAAAGCGCGCGUAGGUGGUUCAGCAAGUUGGAUGUGAAAUCCCCGGGCUCAACCUGGGAACUGCAUCCAAAACUACUGAGCUAGAGUACGGUAGAGGGUGGUGGAAUUUCCUGUGUAGCGGUGAAAUGCGUAGAUAUAGGAAGGAACACCAGUGGCGAAGGCGACCACCUGGACUGAUACUGACACUGAGGUGCGAAAGCGUGGGGAGCAAAAAGGAUUAGAUACCCUGGUAGUCCACGCCGUAAACGAUGUCGACUAGCCGUUGGGAUCCUUGAGAUCUUAGUGGCGCAGCUAACGCGAUAAGUCGCCCGCCUGGGGAGUACGGCCGCAAGUUUAAAACUCAAAUGAAUGGGCGGGGGCCCGCACAAGCGGUGGAGCAUGUGGUUUAAUUCGAAGCAACGCGAAGAACCUUACCUGGCCUUGACAUGCUGAGAACUUUCCAGAGAUGGAUUGGUGCCUUCGGGAACUCAGACACAGGUGCUGCAUGGCUGUCGUUAGCUCGUGUCGUGAGAUGUUGGGUUAAGUCCCGUAACGAGCGCAACCCUUGUCCUUAGUUACCAGCACCUCGGGUGGGCACUCUAAGGAGACUGCCGGUGACAAACCGGAGGAAGGUGGGGAUGACGUCAAGUCAUCAUGGCCCUUACGGCCAGGGCUACACACGUGCUACAAUGGUCGGUACAAAGGGUUGCCAAGCCGCGAGGUGGAGCUAAUCCCAUAAAACCGAUCGUAGUCCGGAUCGCAGUCUGCAACUCGACUGCGUGAAGUCGGAAUCGCUAGUAAUCGUGAAUCAGAAUGUCACGGUGAAUACGUUCCCGGGCCUUGUACACACCGCCCGUCACACCAUGGGAGUGGGUUGCUCCAGAAGUAGCUAGUCUAACCGCAAGGGGGACGGUUACCACGGAGUGAUUCAUGACUGGGGUGAAGUCGUAACAAGGU